AACGAACGCUGGCGGCAGGCCUAACACAUGCAAGUCGAACGCCCUAGCAAUGGGGAGUGGCGAGACGGGUGAGUAACACGUGGGAACCUUCCCUGUAGUACGGAACUAGCCCAGGGAAACUUGGAGUAAUACCGUAUACGCCCGAAGGGAAGAUUAUCGCUAUAGGAUGGGCCCGCGUAGGAUUAGCUAGUUGGUGAGGUAAUGGCUCACCAAGGCGACGAUCCUUAGCUGGUUUGAGAGAAC
rnacentral:rRNA from 1 species